rnacentral:lncRNA from 1 species
UGCAGAUCUCACCUGUGGAGGCUGGAGGUGUGGCCUAGUGGCAGAGCUGGUGCUUAGCACGUGUGAGGCUCUGGGUUUGAUUCCCAGCACCUGCUUCCCCAAAUCACCCGUGAGUGAAUACGUGAGCCGAGCCCCAGGUUCUAUGUGCACUGUGGGUGGAAGGGAUCUUAAAGAGGCAGAUUUGAAAGGAUGCAAAAAGGAUUCUAGGCCCUAACCAGAGCUGGCUUCCCUCAAAAGUAUGUUGUUUAGGAGCUUAAAAAAAAAAAAAAAGGCUAAUAUUAAUAAUAUUGACUGAUCAUUAGGGAUUCUUCAGAUGUAUUUAACAUGUUUCUUCAUAAAUCUUUAUGAAGCUACCCUGAGAAAGAUCUUCUGAUGGGGUGCAGAAUAUGAUAAUUACUAGAGAUGAUUGAAGAUGUACACACAUUGGCUUCAGUUGAAACCUGGCUCUCCAUCCUCUGCAGGACUUCUGCGAAGGAGCUGGGAGAGGGAGAAUACAGCCUUCCUUCCCCAGCCCCCAGCUGUUGAGAACUUAACCUUUGAAUUUAAGAUCACAGUCAGCCUUACGUUUCUGCAGGUCCCACAUCUGUGGGUUCAACCAACUGUGGAUCAAAGAUGUUCGAAAAAUAGUUGUAUCUGUACUAAACAUGCAGAGAACUGUUCUAGCCUUUUUUCUAAAUGAUACAAUAUGACAACUAUCAACAUAGCAUUUAUAGGGUAUCAGGUUUUAUAAGUCAUCUAGAGAUGAUUUGUAUAGAUUCUAUGCAAAUAUUAUGCUAAUUUCUAUAAGGAACUCGAGCAUCUUCAGAUUUUGGUAUCCAUGGGGCUGAUACCAAGGGAUGAAUGUAUUUCUCCAAUUCAAAGUUUGAAACUAUAAACUUUAUAAAAUUGCUCUUGCCCAAGAUUAUCACACAUUGCCAUAUAAUUUUUUUUUUUUUUUUGUGACCUGCAACUUAAAGAGAACUGGAUUUAUAUUUAACUUUGACUUAUCCAGUCACCAGGGACCACUCUUCCUCUCUCAGACUCUUGAGUUUUUCUCUCUUGGCAGAAGGAAAGCUGUCUGCAUUUGGCCUGUUCUCUCUGACCAAAGUGGCUCAGUGUCUUCUGCAGGUAAGUGGGUUCAAGGUUACAUUUAAGAUGGCGUGUACUUGCUGCCUUGAAAACAUUUAAAUUGAUUAUUUGCAAGUGUGUUUUUGGCCACAGGCUAAAAUGAUGAGAGUCUGGAAAUCAGAUUAGCGCAGAAGCAAAUCAGAUUUUUGAAGUAUGUAUUCUAUCUUCAGGACUUCAAACUUGGGGAGGGAACCAUUUAAAGAAUUGAGUAUACUUUCUUUCUUUCCUUUUUAUUGAGAUAUUUGACAGCACGUGAGCAACACCUGAAUCAGAUUCUUCUGUGGUGCUGAGGAUGGAACCCAGGGCCUCCCAUGCUGGAUGAGCGCUCAGCCACUGAGCCAACUUCCGAGGCCUGGAGCAGAGUGUCCAUCCCGGAUUCUCACGCGUGGCUUUGAUUGUGUUUGUGCUUCUAAAGGAAUCGAUGCUCAAGUGGGGCCAGGUGAAUUCAUGCACAAUGUGACCUCAAUUGCUUUUUGUUUCGUUGUGGCAAAUAUAUAUAUAACUUGAAUUGUGUCAUCCUAACCAUUUAAAGUGCCCAGUUCAGUGGCAUUAGGUAAUUCAUGUACAACCAUCAACACCCUCCAUCUCCAGAACUUUAUCAUCACCUCAGACUGAAACUGUAUCCAUUAAACAUUAAUUUUUCAUUCCUUCUCCCCCAACCCCUGGCUACCAUCUCUCUGAAUUGGAUGGCAGGAGGUACCCAGGCAAGUAGAAUCAUACAGUAGCUGUCUUUUGUGUCUGGCUGACUUAACUUAGCAUAAUGCCCCCCUGGUUCAUCCAUGCCAUGGCAUGGUGUCAGAAUUUCCUUUCUCAAAGAGGCUAAGAUCCAGCACAUGUAUAUACUGCACACUACACUUUCUUUUUCUUCUCCUUUUUUUUUUUGGUACUGGGGAUUGAACUCAGGGUACUUGACCACUGAGCCACAUCCCCAGCCCUAUUUUGUAUUUUACUAAGAGGGUCUCAUUGAGUUGCUCAGUGCCUUGCUGUUGCUGAGGAUGGCUUUGAACUCACCAUCCUCCUGCCUUAGCCUCCUGAGCUGCUGGUACACCCCACCUCGCCUCUACCACAUGUUCUUCAUUCACCUACCAGUGCAUCUUUUGGCUCUUGUGAGUAAUGCUGUCACGAACAUGAGUGUGCAAAUAUCUGUUCAAGUCCCUGCUUCAGUCUUGCUCAUUUUUAUGUCCUGUGUCAUCUUUAGCACUGAUGAGUAAAACUCUUUCCAUUCUCGCAGAGUAGCCCUUUGGGGGUACUCUUUUAAUAUUCUGUAUUCUAUAGCAAAGCAAAAAAAAAAAAAAAAAGAUUGGAAAAUGUUGCUGACAAUCAACUUGUAGGACAAGUUAUUUUUCUUUUUGCAGGAAUCUUGCUGUUAAAGCACCCUUUUGUAAUCCCAUUUCAGGGCACGCUGAGCAGUUGAUCUGUUUACUGGCCGACAUGUGGUUUGGAGGGGAGGCUGUGGAGGGUGGAGUGACCCACUCUGGCUUGAUGCUGGGGCUCUGCCAGCUCAUCUGUGUCUUUAAAACAUUCUGCACAUGUUCACUUGAGACUGGCACCUGCCCUGCGCCAUCACCCUCUGUCACUUCCUUCCCUGUAUUUCAAAUUGAGCUUUCAAUGUCCUGCCCAGAUGCCUGGUUAAGAAGUCAUAGGAUUAAAAAACCAAAAAACCAAAAUAAUCCCCCCACCCCACAAGACACCCAGCACCUAAAGAAUAACCCAGUUCUACUAACUCAUUGUAAAACGUUUGGCUUUAUUUGGGUCUCAACCAUGAUGCCCCAAACCCCACGGGGCUUUCUCUCUGGGGAUCUUUCUGCGUUUUGGCUUCCCUGGGGCCCCACACACUCGGUUUGGUGGGCUAGUUCUGCCUUGUGUUUCAUCACAGGAAAGUUAUUCUGGGUCUCAAAAAGGCCUCGUAAAUCUGCUCCCCAGAUGGAAGUCUCCAGUAAAAAUCUCCUCUCUUUGUGCAUCUCUCAAAUUCCUCUUUAAUUUAAUUCAACAAAUGAAUAAUCAAAUGGGGUGUGAGAUAAGCUGUAAUCCCCCCCCCCAAAAAAAAAUUUUGUUUUUAAACAAGCACUAUUGUGAAUUUGACCACUUUCCUUAGUUUAUGAUUAGCCAAGUAUGCAGCAGGCGAACGGGUGAUUCCUCAGGAAGGCAGUCAAGGGUAAGCUGAAGGUCAUUAACCAGUGCACAGCACUGGGUAGGCAAAAUGUUACUGGAUCCUAGCAUAUUUGUUAUUCCUUUCUUAAAAGGAACUUCAUAACACAAGUUUGAGUUUAUAAGAGGCUGAGAUAUAAUUUCUCUUUAAAGAGACAGGUUAAGGGAUAGGUAGGCCCCAGGGUCAAGGGCAUAGGGAUCAGCAUUGUGACCUUGGAGUGGAGAACUAGACCUGACACGGGUCUUAGGACUUUUGUUCUGCUCCCAAGCAGGAGAGAUGACAUGGGGAGGUGCUGCUUGUGUGACUAGGCCUGGUGACUUGGUGGGUUGAUGGCACCUUUUGGGCAGCCUGUGGAUGUCUGCCCUGAAACCCAACGGAAGCAUUCCUUCCUCCCUCCCUCUCCCCACAUGCACAGCUGAGGCUGGGUUUCCCCUCUUCUGUACAUGCUUCUGCUUUGGAUUAUGGGCAUAAGAAACACACAGUGUUCUUUCUACAAGUACACACUUUUUUUUAAAGCCUUUUAUAUGUUUUUUUAAAAUAUAUGUUUUUGCAGGGUGUGGUGGUGCAUACUUUUAAUCCCAGUGGCUCAGGAGGCUGAGGCAGAAGAUCUGCAGGUUGAAAGCCACCCUCAGCAACAUAACGAGGUCCUAAGCAACUUGGAGAGACCCUGUCUCAAAAUAAAAAUAAGUUAAUUUAUUGUGGCUCAGUGGUUAGGCACUCCUGGGUUCAAUCCCUGGAAGAAAAAUUUUUUCAAAAGUAAUAAUUCUAUAAUUUUUUUAGAAAUUAUUUUUUUAAAAAAAUAAUGUUUAUAAUUUUUCCAAAAAUUAUAAGAGCCUCCCAGGUAGGUUGAAACAAAACAACACAGAACAGCAAAUAAAAAGUACUUCAACCCCUCCUAUCCCUCCUGGUUUCUCCCCACUCUCCCAAACCCAUAAUCAUGGAAUUGCACAUGAACCCUCUGUAUUCUUAUUUUAUAGAAAUAUUUUAUGAAUUGCAUAGCAGGUGGUUUUGCUUUAGAGAUCUGGAGUCAUCGUACAGCUGCCGUUGCUUCUGGGUUUCAGUUACCCAUGGUCAAUAGGCAUCCUUGUCCUGGCCUGUCAUCAGAAGGUCCACAGUAGCCUAAGCUAUGUCUCCAUGUCUGGGUCUUUCCCUUCAGUGCAUCUUAUCACGAGGGCAUCGCAUCAUCUCACACCGUCACAGGGAGAAGAAGAGUGAGUUCAGUAUAAGGAGAUGAUUUGGGGGGAGAAAAAGAGAGUGACUAUAUUCACAUACCUUUCAUUACAGUAUGUUGCUAUAAUUGUCUUAUUGCUAUUUUUAAUCUCUCACUGUGCCUAAUUUAGAAAUUAAGCUUUAUCAUAGGUGUGGGUGUGGAUAGGAAUAAAAAAGCAGUGGACCAUACUGGGCUUGGCACUAUCUACAGUUUCAGGUAUCUGCUGGAGGUCUGAGGUUAGAGGGGGCUACUGUACAUAUAUUUGUGAAUGUUUUUCACUUUUGAGUAUAGCAUGGACAAGUUUCCAGAUCAGUAUAGAGACCGAACUCAUUUAAGAGGUACGUACCACUACCUAUGAAAAUUUGCUACCAUUUAUUCAGACAUCCCUGAUUGACAGACUUGCAACUUGCUUCCAGGUUUUACUACCAGGAACAAUGCUACAACUGGAAUCCUGUACAUAGAAACACCCAAGCUUUUACUUCUAGAGGAUGGAUAUCUUGCAGUGAGGUUCUGGGGUAUGCCCAAUUUUAAUACAUAUUGAUUGUUGACUUUCCCAAAAUUGAGUAGCUCACACCAUCGCUGGCAAUGGGAGAACACCUUAAACAUUUACAUUUCCUUUCCUGGGACUGGCCUAUUAUUUUUCAUAUUUGGGGGGGGUGUAUCUUUAAAUUAUUGAUUUAUAGCUCUCCAGCUGCCAUAUCAUUAUAAUAUUUCCUUUUAGCCUAUUCGUUGUCUUUUGACUUAGUGGUCCACAUCUUUUGUCAUAUGGACACCAUGACACCACAGAUGACUUUUCUUGUAGUCAAAGCUCUCGAUCUGUUUUUGGCUUCUGACACUCUUGCUUAAAACCUUCUCUACUUCAAGCAAGCAUCUCUCCCAUUCCCCAUUUUAUUCUAAAACUUCUAUUACCUAUUUUUGAUAUCAAAAUCCUUACUCUCUGUUGAAAUUUAUUUUUAAAGAGGAGAUGGGAAAGGAGAUAUGUAUAAUUAAAUUAUUUUUUCCCAGAUAGUUUCCAGUGAUGCCAACAGCAUAUAUGAAGCAAUCAAUUUCCUCUCUUUAAACUGAUGAUAAAUGCAUCAUAUGGUACUUGUUCUUAUUUCUGGGAUCCGUUCUUUUCCACUGAUCCAUUUGUUCCUGUGGCAAUUCUACAGAGUUUACAAUGGCUUUAAUCAUUAGUGUCGAUGUAUGGAAGGGCAAGCUUUCUCAUCAUUUUAGUUUUAAAUAUUUUUGGUAACUUCCAUGGAAAUGUUAACAUUAUCUAGCACCCAGACAUUUUCUUGGUAUUCCAAUUGGAAUUUUUAAAAAAUCAUCAUAUCCUUUUAGAAGACAUAUAUUAUUUUAUUGAGUUUCUCAUCCAGGAACAUUUUAUGUCUUUUAGUAAAAUUUUGUAGCCUACUUUGCAUAAAUUGUAUCUAUUUCUUGUUACAUUGAUUCAAAGAUAUUUUGUGUUUUUUACUAUGUUGAUUGAGAUUAUUUUUCAAUUUCCUUUUAAAAUUAUUUAUUUAUUUAUUUAUUUUGAGGCAGGGUCUAUCUUUGUUGCUCAGACUGGCUUUGAACUCUUGAUCUUCCUGCCUCAGCCUUCUGAGUCGCUGGGAUUAAAUGGGUAUAUCACCAUGCUCAGCACCAUUUCAUUUCUAAACUGGCUAUUACUAACAUAAAUAAGAACCUUUGAAUUUCAUAAAUUUAUUGCAUGUAGUUACCUUAUCAAAUUGUCCUAGUUCUUAUAAUAGAUUUUAAAGAUAGAAUCUUUCCCUUUUUCAGGUGUAGUCAUUUUAAUAUGUAAACAUAUUAGUCUUCCAAUGGUGAGAUUCCUUUUUAAGUUUUCUUGUCUUAUCGCAUUCGUGAGAACUUGCCAAAGUAGAUUGAAUAACUUUGGUGAAGAAGACAUUUUUGCCCUAGUUCAUAUUUGAAGGAAACCACUUUGCUAUUUCCUUGUUUGAUAUAAUGUCUGUUGGUCUUGAAGCUUUUUGUCACUCUUUAAAAAAAAAUUAGGAUUGUCUCCUGGAUUUUAUCAAAUGCCUGUUUUUCUUCAAUGUGAAUAUUAUUUGUCAUCUUUAAAAAUAAACCUCUCCCUAAGGGCCCCCACUUUCAAUGAUGUUGCUAUUAGCUGGAAAUUGAAAAAAUCUCACAGUUAGCAAUGGAUGUCAAACUCUGGUAACUUGCCACAUCCUGUGGAGUCCUGGAUGAUGUCAGCUUGGAGUUGUCAUUUGCAUACAGCAAGGAAAGGCACAGCAAGACAGAAACCAGGGACUUACGGGAAGGGUGGAGGUGAGUGUCUUACUUCUGAAGCAGCUGGGGAGACCAGGAAGCAGGAGCAGGGUGAGGAGUGCUGAUCACCAGGUGCUAUCAAUCAACCCGACAGCGUGAACCUGGGCGGCAAGGGUGGGGCGGAGGGUGGAAGCCAGUAUGAUUCUUCACUAAGCAUUGGGUAGAAAACUCCAGAAACCUGUGGAGCAGAUACCAAAGUCUGGUGUGAAUGACAGCUCAGGCCAUGGGCAGGCCAGGUGAGUGAGGCAUAGGAAUCAGAGGCUGGGGAGUAGGUGUAGGUGAUUCCAUGGUCGAGCUUAAUCUCCCGGGGUUUAGGACUACUGUGAAAGGCUGAAGAACUUGUUUCUUUGUCAUAUUUUGGGUAUUUUUAAUUUUAUGUUUUCUUUUUAGACUUUUAAUUUUUAUUUAUUUUUCUUGAGACAGGGUCUUGCUGUGUUGCUCAAGCUGGCCUCAAACUCCUGGACUCAAGCCAUCCUCCUGCCUCAGCCUCCAGUAGCUGGAACUACAGAUACAGGCUGGGGUCAUCUUGAAGAUAGUUUGGUAGGUUAUCUGUGAAUAAAAUGUAUGAUGAAAAAUUUGAACAACAUAGGCAUUAGUGCUUCCUGAGUGUUAUUGGGUGCUUUCUUCCUUUACAAAAGAAAUAUUAUCUUAAGCCCUCAUUUUUUUUUUUUUUGGUACCAGGGGCACAUGACCACUGAGCCACAUCCCCAGCCCUAUUUUGAAUUUUAUUUAGAGACAGGGUCUCACUGAGUUGCUUAGUGCCUUACUUAUUGCUGAGACUGGCUUUGAACUUGUGAUCCUCCUGCCUCAGCCUUCCUAGAAGCUGAGAUUUCAGGAGUGUGCCACCGGGUCCGGCCCAAAAUUUUAAAAUAAUCUUGAUUCCUAAAAAAAGGGAAAUAUAAAACAUGGAUAAAAAUGUGAUCUAGAAAACAGAAAAAUACAAAGAAAAAUAAGAAUAUAACCC